GAGUCAUGGCGGUCAGGCGUCAGGGGCUCAGGGCCAUCAAACUCAAGACGAACAACGUAGAAUGGCAGAAAGAACAAUGUGAUGCAUGAUGUAUCGUCCUAUCGUUAAAGAAAAUGGGAAAACACAGUGGAAUUCUGGGUUGGACUCGUCGAUUGCAGUGCCUGUAACUCAACUUCAAACAAACGUUAAUAGCUGCCUCAGCCACUUAAUUGCAUAUAUGUCUAUUUUUUGGCAAGUUAACAUGACUUGGCACAACAUUCCAUGGCUAAGUGAUUAUAUACCUAGAUCAUUGUGUCGUAGAAACACGAUGAAAAUAUUUAGUCCUGUAAUUUCUUGUCCAACGAUGCUAUACCAUCCACGAUGUAUACUAACUAUCCAAAAUGCCACUAUAAUAGUGCAUUGCUUGAAAUCAGGACAAACAGUCAAACAGAGUAAUCUUUGUUUGGAGGUGAAAUUCCUGUUUACUAUGAUAAACAGAAAAAAGGUUCCGAGAGCUCCAUUACCUACCUGAUUUGAUUUUUAUAGCUGGGCUCUUGGCUCUUGGCUGACAGGUGAUUUUGCCUACAAUUUCAGUCUCACUCCCAGUGUGUCAUCUGACCAUGUGGCCUGAAAUUGCUGUCCAUAUGCCGAAAUGUCGUCCAGUACCAGAAACUUAAAUGCAAUGGUUUUGAUUGGAUUAAUUUAAGCUAUGAUGGUGUUUGCUGCUCAACGUGUACAUGGUGAAAGGUGUGCUUGACCCAGAAUAAGCUGCUGUUGUCUCUGGUGUUGGUGAAUCUACAAUUCAACAUGUUAAACUGUUUGAUGCCGAAGUAAGUCAGAACUCUAACCCUAACAGCUGCUGCUGCUGCCUCAUACCCACAGGCAGAAAAGUUGCUCUAUUUCUUCAGACAAUUUAUAAUGUUCAACAGGCAGGUGAUAUUUCUGCAUUGUUGUUUAACACAACAUGGUUUUUGGGUGCGGCCAACCAGUGGAAGGCGUCAUCAAAUCAAGUUCAGCUGUUGCACGGAGUCUGUGGUGCCGGUGUUAUCCUGGAGUGUGUUGGUGUUUUGUGAAAUGUUUCGCAUAAGCUGUUUUGUGUGUCCCCAGGGCUUGCUAACUGACAAUGAGAGAUUUCAAUGUUUAACUUUACUUGUGUCAUUUUUGUUAUCGUGGCAUGAGAAUCACUGCUUGAUUUUUUUUUAAAGCAGGAUUAACAGCUAGUUGAAGUCUUAUCUUCACCUUCUUCUUUGUUCCAGUCUAAUUCACACAUGAAUUUUUUUCAGUCAGCAUUUUGAAUUUGACAUGAACAAUUUUAUUUAAUGGUUUCGCGUUUAUGUUCGCGUAGUUGCUGUCCGAUGUGGCACGUUGCUGCUAUGCUGGUGAAAGAUCUUUCUACAUCAAGUUCAAUUGGCCGUUCGGUGCUGGUGUCCUGUUACCGAAAUUGC